GACGAACGCUGGCGGCGUGCUUAACACAUGCAAGUCGAACGGUGACCUCGAGAGCUUGCUCUUGGGUGAUCAGUGGCGAACGGGUGAGUAACACGUGAGUAACCUGCCCCAGACUCUGGAAUAACCCCGGGAAACCGGAGCUAAUACCGGAUACGAGACGGAGUCGCAUGGCUACCGUCUGGAAAGUCUUUCGGUCUGGGAUGGACUCGCGGCCUAUCAGCUUGUUGGUGAGGUAACGGCUCACCAAGGCGACGACGGGUAGCCGGCCUGAGAGGGCGACCGGCCACACUGGGACUGAGACACGGCCCAGACUCCUACGGGAGGCAGCAGUGGGGAAUAUUGCACAAUGGGCGAAAGCCUGAUGCAGCGACGCCGCGUGAGGGAUGACGGCCUUCGGGUUGUAAACCUCUUUCAGCAGGGAAGAAGCGAAAGUGACGGUACCUGCAGAAGAAGCACCGGCUAACUACGUGCCAGCCGCCGCGGUAAUAC
rnacentral:rRNA from 1 species